GGGACUUCACCCCCAUACACAAACACAACACAUGACGGACUAUCCCGUUACUAUCAAAUAAUAUGGGACUUCACCCCCAUACACAAACACAACACAUGACGGACUAUCCCGUUACUAUCAAAUAAUAUGGGACUUCACCCCCAUACACAAACACAACACAUGACGGACUAUCCCGUUACUAUCAAAUAAUAUGGGACUUCACCCCCAUACACAAACACAACACAUGACGGACUAUCCCGUUACUAUCAAAUAAUAUGGGACUUCACCCCCAUACACAAACACAACACAUGACGGACUACAUCCCGUUGGCACCUGCCUCCGCAGAUCUUGUACUCAAAAUUCGGAUCAAAGCACCAAAUCUAAUUGCUUCCUUGAACCACUAAAGUAAUUCAAAGAAGCAGGGGGGCAAUGCUAGUACCUGCUAUCAUGAGUACCCGCUAACAGCCACCUAAACAAUGGAUUACGG
rnacentral:lncRNA from 1 species